rnacentral:rRNA from 1 species
GUGUCAGCAGCCGCGGUAAUACGGAGGGUCCAAGCGUUAUCCGGAUUUAUUGGGUUUAAAGGGUGUGUAGGCGGAAAAAUCAGUCAGUGGUGAAAUCCUGCAGCUUAACUGCAGAACUGCCUUUGAUACUGUUUUUCUUGAAUAUAGUUGAAGUGGGCGGAAUGUGUCAUGUAGCGGUGAAAUGCAUAGAUAUGACACAGAACACCGAUUGCGAAGGCAGCUCACUAAGCUAUUAUUGACGCUGAGGCACGAAAGCGUGGGUAGCGAACAGGAUUAGAUACCCUGGUAGUCCACGCCGUAAACGAUGAUUACUCGAUGUUGGCGAUAUACUGUCAGCGUCCAAGCGAAAGUGUUAAGUAAUCCACCUGAGGAGUACGGUCGCAAGAUUGAAACUCAAAGGAAUUGACGGGGGCCCGCACAAGCGGAGGAACAUGUGGUUUAAUUCGAUGAUACGCGAGGAACCUUACCUGGGCUUAAAUGUAAGAUGACAGGCUGGGAAACCAGUCCUCCUUCGGGCAACUUACAAGGUGCUGCAUGGCUGUCGUCAGCUCGUGCCGUGAGGUGUCGGGUUAAGUCCCAUAACGAGCGCAACCCCUAUCUCUAGUUGCCAGCACAUAAUGGUGGGGACUCUAGAGAAACUGCCCGCGCAAGCGGUGAGGAAGGUGGGGAUGACGUCAAGUCAGCACGGCCCUUACGUCCAGGGCUACACACGUGUUACAAUGGCCGGUACAGAGGGCAGCUACCUGGUGACAGGAUGCAAAUCUCUAAAGCCGGUCUCAGUUCGGAUCGAAGUCUGCAACUCGACUUCGUGAAGUUGGAUUCGCUAGUAAUCGCGCAUCAGCCUCGGCGCGGUGAAUACGUUCCCGGGCCUUGCACACACCGCCCGUC